AAGUGAAAGUAAAGUUUGUUCAGUUUGUUCAGACGCCAUUUUGAUUCACAGUAGAAGGAGGAAACUAAAGACUGAAGCGAGGAUCGGUCUCCUUGGUGGGCUCUACCAGCAGUGGUGGGUCUGACCUCCCGCUCUGAGACUGGGGGACAGUUGUUUUUCUCUUACGUCAUCGUGUUACAGCGCAGACUGGAAAAUGUGGGACCGCUGCCAUGGUCGAUAAAAAGGUGUGGCAGAAACAGGGUUCCUACGAAAGUAUGGAAAAGUAUGGAAUUUGAUGAUGUAAAUGUUCCUGUCUGGAAAAGUAUGGAAAGUGAAAACUAGUUUCCAAGACUGUUCCCACUGUUCACUAUUUCUAAGACUAAUUAUAUUUGGUCUUUGUCCGCUGUAUUUUUCCUCCGUCAGCGCUUGAAUCUGUUCUUGCUCGCUGCUCUUACUCUCAUUAAAAACUAUCGAUAUAAACACAUAUAGAUGUAUAUGUAUCUAUGAUUAAAUACUAUUUACUGCUGCACUUCCA